rnacentral:sRNA from 1 species
CAUAGUGCACUGCAGCCUCGAACUCCUGGGUUCAAGUGAUUCUCCUGCCUUAGCCUUCCCAGUAGCUGGGACUUCAGGCAUGCAUCACUGCAUGUGGCCCUAGCCACUGGAUUCUGAACAGGCUGAAUCCUGGGCGAUAGAGCCACUGAGGGAACUAUUUGCAAAUCCUGCUCAUCUUUGUUUUCUUUGCAGCCUAAGGAGCUGGAUCCCUCUGCUGUGCUCCCCCUGGACUGUCUGCUUGCUUUUGUGUUCUUUGAUGCCAACUGGUGUGGCUACUUGCACCGGCGAGACUUAGAGAGGAUCCUCCUCACCCUUGGGAUCCGGCUCAGUGCAGAGCAGGCCAAGCAGCUGGUCAGCAGGGUGGUGACCCAGAACAUCUGCCAGUACCGGAGCCUUCAGUACAGCCGCCAGGAGGGCCUGGAUGGUGGCCUUCCCGAGGAGGUGCUCUUCGGAAACCUGGACCUGCUGCCCCCUUCUGGGAAAAGCACGAAGCCGGGUGCUGCCCCCACAGAACACAAAGCCUUGGUGUCCCACAAUGGCAGCCUGAUCAACGUGGGGAGCCUGCUGCAGCGUGCGGAGCAGCAGGACAGCGGCCGGCUCUACCUAGAGAACAAGAUCCACACACUGGAGCUGAAGCUGGAGGAGAGCCAUAACCGUUUCUCAGCCACUGAAGUAACGAAUAAGACGCUGGCGGCAGAGAUGCAGGAGCUGCGAGCCCGGCUGGCGGAGGCUGAGGAGACCGCCCGGACGGCGGAGCGACAGAAGAGCCAGCUCCAGCGGCUGCUGCAGGAGCUCCGCAGGCGCCUGACCCCCCUGCAGCUGGAGAUCCAGCGGGUGGUGGAAAAGGCUGACAGCUGGGUGGAAAAGGAGGAGCCGGCACCUAGCAACUGACGGCCUCGCACGGAACUGCCAUCCUGUGAGGGCAGCGGUGGCGCCCGGCGAAGUUGGAGCCCUUGCGGUACCAGAAAGCAGCGGGAGCGAGACCUGGGAGCCAGGGCAGGGGUGGCUGACCCCAUGCUCAGCCUCUAGGGGACGGCAGGCCAUCAGGCUGGGGGCUGUGCUAUGUGGGAUGGAUGUGUGAGGAACCCCGGUUCCACUUAACUAAAUACAACAUCUUUUGCACCCCUAGAAUGUCAUUUUGCCCUCAACCUUGGUAUUUCUCCUGGGGCCCUUUUAGUCUUGUGCUGACUUUCUCCUGUCCUCUUCCAGUUUAGAAUAAGACAGGGGAGAAAAAGGCUUUUCGAGUGUGGGACAAGGUCUGAUGUCAGUGAACUGAACUGAAGAGACAGACGUGGAGCCUGGCUGGGGCUAAGCAGCCCCCUCCUCCGGAUGGCACAGGCUCUGCUAGGUUCCGGACACAGGCUUCUGGGGGAAGGGUCUCCCUUCGCCAUCACGGGAAUGGAGUCCACGCUAGAAAGUGCUCAGUGUUGGGCUGGGUUUGCCAAUAGAACACUGUGUUCCAGUCACCCCCGACUUGCCAGAAGAAACCAGCACCUCUUUCCCGUGGCUCCUGUGUUCAGAAUGUGGUAUUGGCUCUGGCCCAGCCUACUCCCCUGUUACCCAUAAUUCUUGCCUCUUUCCAUAAUCCGUGGUUUCAGUUUGACUUUGUAUAUAAAGUUGGGUUUUUUUUUUUUUUUUGGCUUGUUUUUUAAAUAAACCAAAGUCAAAAACAAACUGAGUGUGUCCUCCACAGCUCUUCCUACUCCUCUCCUAGGCUUGCCUGCGUGCCCUCCCGCCCAGCGUCUCUGCUGGACCACGGUGCAGUUCGCUCCAGAAGGUGGGGCAGGGCCGGGGAGGUGCGCACACACCCCUGCAUGCUGGGCUGUCUGCUGGAGGGUGCUGCUGCUCCGCGGAGGGCAGCAGGCCCUGGAACGGGUUUCCUCUGCUUGCCUAAGUUAGUUACAGCACAAUACUAUGUGGACGUUUCAUUGAAAAUUUUACUUGAAAAAAUAAAAUUCCAAAUACUCAGGUGAGACACAAACCCACUGUUCUUGCUUUGAGACCUGUGAAUUCUUGGGGGACAUUCUGUGUGGUGGGACAGUUCCACUGACAGUUUGGGUUCCCGAGGUACCAGUUCUCAGUGACCUUGGGAACCCCAACCACUUGGGUCCCAAAGCCACAAGGGUGGCUUUUGUCUUGCUGGGAAGCUGGCUGAGGGCCUGCCAGGGCUGGAGGACCAGCUCUCCCG